rnacentral:rRNA from 1 species
CGGAAAGCCUGAUCCAGCAACGCCGCGUGAGGGAUGACGGCCUUCGGGUUGUAAACCUCUUUCAGCAGGGACGAAGCGCAAGUGACGGUACCUGCAGAAGAAGCACCGGCCAACUACGUGCCAGCAGCCGCGGUAAUACGUAGGGUGCGAGCGUUGUCCGGAAUUAUUGGGCGUAAAGGGCUCGUAGGCGGUCUGUCACGUCGGGAGUGAAAACUCAGGGCUUAACCCUGAGCCUGCUUCCGAUACGGGCAGACUAGAGGUAUGCAGGGGAGAACGGAAUUCCUGGUGUAGCGGUGAAAUGCGCAGAUAUCAGGAGGAACACCGGUGGCGAAGGCGGUUCUCUGGGCAUUACCUGACGCUGAGGAGCGAAAGUGUGGGGAGCGAACAGGAUUAGAUACCCUGGUAGUCCACACCGUAAACGUUGGGCGCUAGGUGUGGGACUCAUUCCACGAGUUCCGUGCCGCAGCUAACGCAUUAAGCGCCCCGCCUGGGGAGUACGGCCGCAAGGCUA